GAACAAUAUGUCAGCCAAUAAUUGACUUCUAGGAUAUACAUCUAAUAAUCUUUUACUUGGACUAAAAUCAAUUGACCAUUAAUCUAAGCCUCAUCUUCUCAAGGUGGGCUUCUAUUUUAGGUUGGCUCAACUCUUUGUCAGCGGAUCUGUAACAUUAUCCACGAAAUCUACUCUUCGUACCUUGACAUAUUGCUUCUCGAGAUAGUAGCAUAUGAUAUGGAACCUCCAUUCAAUGUGCUUUGAUUUCUGAUG
rnacentral:lncRNA from 1 species